GGGAAGGUGGCUCAGUGGUAGAGCACUUGCCUUGCAUGCUCGAGGCCCUGGGUUCGAUUCCUCAG
rnacentral:tRNA from 1 species